GACGUAGGGGGCCAGCGUUGUUCGGAAUUACUGGGUGUAAAGGGUUCGUAGGCGGUGCGGCAAGUUGGGAGUGAAAUCUCUGGGCUUAACCCAGAGGCUGCUUCCAAAACUGCUGUGCUUGAGUGUGGGAGAGGCGCGUGGAAUUGCAGGUGUAGCGGUGAAAUGCGUAGAUAUCAGGAGGAACACCGGUGGUGUAGACGGCUUUCUGGACCGUAACUGACGCUGAGACACGAAAGCGUGGGUAGCAAACAGG
rnacentral:rRNA from 1 species